GUCUAGCCAUAGGCUACAGUGCCACCCCCUGGUAGAUGUAGGGACCUGCCUCUGUAGUCAUAGACUAUAGCUCUAAAUCUCUGUUAUCGAUUAGUCAGACCUGUUUAGGUGGCUAGGCUAACAACCGUCACCGGAGCAAGUCCGGUUGUUUUUCAAAGCAUCUGUCAUUUCAAAAGCGACAACAAAGCAGACACAAGGUUUUCGUGGCCCUUUUUGUCCCUGCCGAGCGAAUCGCCAUUUGCCUACGGUAUCUGGCCACUGGCGAUUCCUUUCAUACGAUUGGCUUCAGCUAUCGUGUGGGCACUUCGUCAGUGUGUAGGAUAGUGCGGGAGGUAGCCAGUGCCAUCUGGACUGCUUUGGUGGAGGAGGAGAUGUCUGUUCCCACGAGGGCGGACUGGAGCACCAUGGCCGAGCAGUUUGAGUGGCGCUGGACUUCCCCAACUGCAUCGGAGCGAUUGAUGGGAAGCAUGUAGUGAUACAAGCUCCAGGUAACUGGCUCCUUGUAUCACAACUACAAGGGUACCUUCUCCCUGGUCCUCCUCGCUCGUAGUGGACGCCGACUACUGUGGUAGAAAUUAUUCCUGCAGUGUUGAGCAGAGGGGGACUGCCAAUCAGGUGGGCACUUAGAUUCAUCACACGAGGGAGUCGGAACACAACUGCCAACUUGUUGCAGACAUGAGACGUGCUGAUACCCGCUCUCGGUCUAAACGUCCAACGCUGAGCUCGGCAAGGAAUACCCCUGCCGCCGGAGACGAAUCGGUUGAGGAGGAAGCGGCGGGAACGUCUUCCACCGCUAGGACCACAGUCGCUCCUAAUGCCCAACUGGCUUCAACGAGACUGCGCCAUGAGCUGCAGAUGGCCAGGCAGAAGUUGGACUGGCAGCAGGAGCUGGUUAAAGACUUGACCAAAGAAAGGGACUUCCUGCUGGAACAACUGG